rnacentral:rRNA from 1 species
UACGGGGGGGGGCAAGCGUUGUUCGGAAUUACUGGGCGUAAAGGCUCGUAGGCGGCCAACUAAGUCCGACGUGAAGUCCCAAAGCUUAACUUUGGAACUGCGUCGGAUACUGGAUGGCUUGAAUUCGGGAGAGGGAUGCAGAAUUCCAGGUGUAGCGGUGAAAUGCGUAGAUAUCUGGAGGAAUACCGGUGGCGAAGGCGGCAUCCUGGACCGACAUUGACGCUGAGGAGCGAAAGCUAGGGGAGCAAACGGGG